rnacentral:rRNA from 1 species
CCAUACAGUGGGGGAUAACCAGAAGAAAUUCUGGCUAAUACCGCAUACGAAGCACAAUUUUGAAAGUAGUGCUUGAAAGGAUGCUUCGGCAUUCGCUGAAUGAUGGGCCUGCGUAGCAUUAGUUUGAUGGUGGGGUAACGGCCUACCAUGACUACGAUGCUUAGCUGGCCUGAGAGGAUGAUCAGCCACACUGGAACUGAGACACGGUCCAG